UACACCGGUUCUUGUACGAUCACCGAAGUUAAGCAAGGAUGAGUCUGGUCACUAAUUUGAUAGGUGACCGCUUGGGAAUACCAGGUGUAGUA